CUGACGGCAACAGACCCACUGCUACAACACAUUACACAGGUACAGUCCGGAGGUCAGUACUGACGGCAACAGACCCACUGCUACAACACAUUACACAGGUACAGUCUGGAGGUCAGUACUGACAGCAACAGACCCACUGCUACAACACAUUACACAGGUACAGUCCGGAGGUCAGUACUGACGGCAACAGACCCACUGCUACAACACAUUACACAGGUACAGUCCGGAGGUCAGUACUGACGGCAACAGACCCACUGCUACAACACAUUACACAGGUACAGUCCGGAGGUCAGUACUGACAGCAACAGACCCACUGCUACAACACAUUACACAG